rnacentral:rRNA from 1 species
GACGAAGGGGGCUAGCGUUGUUCGGAAUUACUGGGCGUAAAGCGCGUGUAGGCGGUUGCCAUAGUCAGGUGUGAAAGCCUUGAGCUUAACUCAAGAAAUGCACUUGAUACUGGGCGACUAGAGGACCGGAGAGGAUAGUGGAAUUCCCAGUGUAGUGGUGAAAUACGUAGAGAUUGGGAAGAACACCAGUGGCGAAGGCGGCUAUCUGGACCGACAUUGACGCUGAUGAGCGAAAGCUAGGGGAGCAAACGGG